UACAGGGGGGGCAAGCGUUGUUCGGAAUUACUGGGCGUAAAGGGCUCGUAGGCGGCCAACUAAGUCAGACGUGAAAUCCCUCAGCUUAACUGGGGAACUGCGUCUGAUACUGGAUGGCUUGAGUUCGGGAGAGGGAUGCGGAAUUCCAGGUGUAGCGGUGAAAUGCGUAGAGAUCCGGAGGAACGCCGGUGGCGCAAGCGGCCACCUGGGCCUGACCUGACGCUGAGGUGCGAAAGCGUGGGGAGCGAACCGG
rnacentral:rRNA from 1 species